rnacentral:rRNA from 1 species
GACGAACGCUGGCGGCGUGCUUAACACAUGCAAGUCGAACGAAGUGGCGAACGGGUGAGUAACGCGUAAGCAACCUGCCCUUCAGAGGGGGACACCAGUUGAAACCGACUGCUAAUACCGCAUACUGAAGGAGGGGAUUGCGUCGGAUUAGCUAGUUGGAGGGGUAACGGCCCACCAAGGCGAUGAUCAGUAGCCGGGCUGAGAGGAGGAACGGCCACAAUGGGACUGGGAAACGGCCCCAGAUCCUAAGGGAGGCAGCAGUGGGGAAUCUUUCGCAAUGGAGGAAAGUCUGACGGAGCAACGCCGGGUGAGUGAUGACGGGCUUCGGGGUGUAAAGCUCCGUUAAUCGGGACGCGGUACCGGAAGAGAAAGCCACGGCUAACUACGUGCCAGCAGCCGCGGUAAUUC